UGCGCAGGCGGAUUUAUAAGUCAGUGGUGAAAUCCUACAGCUUAACUGUAGAACUGCCAUUGAUACUGUAGAUCUUGAGUACAUUUGAGGUAGGCGGAAUGUGUGGUGUAGCGGUGAAAUGCUUAGAUAUCACACAGAACACCGAUUGCGAAGGCAGCUUACUAAACUGUAACUGACGCUGAGGCACGAAAGCGUGGGGAGCGAACAGGAUUAGAUACCCUGGUAGUC
rnacentral:rRNA from 1 species